rnacentral:rRNA from 1 species
GACGAACGCUGGCGGCGUGCUUAACACAUGCAAGUCGAACGGAAAGGCCCUGCUUGCAGGGUGCUCGAGUGGCGAACGGGUGAGUAACACGUGGGUGAUCUGCCCCUUACUUUGGGAUAAGCCUGGGAAACUGGGUCUAAUACUGGAUAGGACCAUGCUGUAGGUGGUGUGGUGGAAAGAUUUUUUCGGUAAGGGAUGAGCUCGCGGCCUAUCAGCUUGUUGGUGGGGUAAUGGCCUACCAAGGCGUCGACGGGUAGCCGGCCUGAGAGGGUGGACGGCCACAUUGGGACUGAGAUACGGCCCAGACUCCUACGGGAGGCAGCAGUGGGGAAUAUUGCACAAUGGGCGCAAGCCUGAUGCAGCGACGCCGCGUGGGGGAUGACGGCCUUCGGGUUGUAAACUCCUUUCAGCCAUGACGAAGCCUCUUUUGGGGUGACGGGAGUGGUAGAAGAAGCACCGGCUAACUACGU